GCGGGUGUAGCUCAGGGUAGAGCAUCACGUUGCCAACGUGAGUGUCGUGAGUUCAAAUCUCAUCACCCGCU
rnacentral:tRNA from 1 species